CCAGAGAACUUAGCAGAAGAUGCUUUGGUGCCUUCGGGAACUCUGAGACAGGUGCUGCAUGGCUGUCGUCAGCUCGUGUUGUGAAAUGUUGGGUUAAGUCCCGCAACGAGCGCAACCCUUAUCCUUUGUUGCCAGCGGCUCGGCCGGGAACUCAAAGGAGACUGCCGGUGAUAAACCGGAGGAAGGUGGGGAUGACGUCAAGUCAUCAUGGCCCUUACGGCCAGGGCUACACACGUGCUACAAUGGCGCAUACAAAGAGAAGCGACCUCGCGAGAGCAAGCGGACCUCAUAAAGUGCGUCGUAGUCCGGAUUGGAGUCUGCAACUCGACUCCAUGAAGUCGGAAUCGCUAGUAAUCGUAGAUCAGAAUGCUACGGUGAAUACGUUCCCGGGCCUUGUACACACCGCCCGUCACACCAUGGGAGUGGGUUGCAAAAGAAGUAGGUAGCUUAACCUUCGGGAGGGCGCUUACCACUUUGUGAUUCAUGACUGGGGUGAAGUCGUAACAAGGUAGGCGUAGCGAG
rnacentral:rRNA from 1 species